rnacentral:piRNA from 1 species
UNCCAGGAAGAGACUAGAGUUGUGACAAAG